GUUAUUUGACUGGAGUGAGGUCUCAUGUCUGCUUAUGCGGUGGCUCGCUGCUCAGAACAGGAUGGCAGAGAUGAGCACCACCAUCAAAAACUCAAGGACCAGUGCUGUGGGUCCAGUCAUCUGUUUCAUGGAAUUCACCAGUCUGGUAUCUUCAAAAUCCAGAAGGAUGAUGGCAGAUGGCAGGAAAGAGGAAGAGGGUAAUCUGGAAGAGUUUCCUGACCUACUCUGCUGCUGUGAUUAAACAACCACCAGGAAAUUUUGAUGACACUGUUCUCCUGAGCUCCUCCCUUUCCUCGGGGAAGAAAAGCAUUGAAACUACAAAAAUAAAGUGUUAUUUGGCUGGAGUGAGGUCUCAUGUCUGCUUAUGCGGUGGCUCGCUGCUCAGAACAGGGAACCAUUGGAGAUACUCAUUACUCUUUGAAGGCUUACAGUGGAAUGAAUUCAAAUACGACUUAUUUGAGGAAUUGAAGUUGACUUUAUGGAGCUGAUAAGAAUCUUCUUGGAGAAAAAAAGACUGGAUCUUUCAUUGUAGUACUUCUGAAUUAACCAAAAUCACAGUAUUCUGAAGAUGAUUCUACAAAGCCUGCUGUUUCUACAAAGGCUGCUGAUGAUUUCUACAAAGCCUGCUGUAGUGUUGCUGUGGCCUCUGCUUAAAAAAGUAGAAAACACAUUGAUGCAGCAUGUUCACCCCAACCUCCCUGCCUAAAGGCUCAGGGACCAUCUUGGAAGAGGAAGGCGCGUGAGAUUGUAAGAGCCGAAUUAGGGGGAUGGAGUGUGGAGAAUAAGGACACUUCAUCUUGGAUGCUCACCUGCCAAAUUGACUUCUGAUGAAAGCCAGCUCCAGAAAUGUGCCUACAGUUACUACUUUCACCUAAACCCUGCCCUUAGUCAAAUCCUUCUCUUCUUCUAAGCAAUCAACUUCAAUUCCUUGUAUAACCCACAGUAUAAAAGGGCUUUUAUACCAUUCUAUCCUAUUGCAUGUAAGCCUUGGGUCUGGGAGGUAACAGUGUGGGAUUCCACCAUCUCAUCUCCCUGCCACCCAAACAUGCCUGCUCUUCUUUAAGCAAUAUUAAAUGUUUGUACUUCAGAAA
rnacentral:sRNA from 1 species